rnacentral:tRNA from 1 species
GGCCCUGUGGCGGAGCAACGCGGCGGACCUGAAAGUCCGCUCACCCCUGGUUCAACACCAGGGCAGGGCCUCCA